rnacentral:lncRNA from 1 species
CUAUAAUGAACAGAGAGCGAACAAGAAGGUGGGGAAGUUGGUGACCCAGGGAAGGACAUCAGUUCAUUGGCACGGCUUCACGUGAGCGGUAGCUGUGUUCAAAAACGUUUUUCAAGACAAUGGAAUCGUCCGGUUAGAAUAUUACUGAAGUUUCACGUUAUAAAGGCCCUACAGAUUGAUGCAUUACAACGUUUGACAUGUUUGAACGAACGUAAAUAUAACAUUUUUGUAACUUUUCGUCAUGACAUUUUCCGCGCGCUUCCUACACUUGGAGUAGCUAACUGAACACGCUAACGACAAGGAGCUAUUUGGACAUAAAUGAUGGAGUUUAUCGAACAAAGCAACAUUUAUUGUGGACCUGGGAUUCCUGGAAGUGCCUUCUGAUGAAGAUCAUCAAAGUAACUUCCUGUUCUUUAACGGACUCCGCUGACUGAAGAUCAACCAAAGUCUGAACACAGUAUGCGAUGUCCGUCUCGCUACAGAGCCUUCAACCACAAGAUGAACAUGGUUCCUUCAGUCAUUUGGAAAUUGCUCCCAAGGAUGAACCAGACUUGUGGAGGUCUACAAUUUUCUUCCUGUGGUCUUGGCUGAUUUCUUUUGAUUGUCCCAUGAUAUCAAGCAAAGACGCACUGAGUUUGAAGGGGAAGAAUGGCCAGCCACACAGGAGGGUGAUUUUUACUAAGGAGAAGAAAGAGGCCGUGCUGGCCGAGAUGCAUGCUGGCCAUUUCGGAGUGAAGCGCAUGAUUGCCAAAAUCAACUUAGGUGGACAGCUGGGUUAGUACCCUGUCUAGCCUGCCAGAAGUUUGAGAGGGCGAAGACUGUGGCGCCGUAGUUGAAGCAGAUCAAAGUUGUUUCACCAUGGCACAUGAUCACAUGAUCGGGGUGGAGCUCAUCGAACCCUUCACGAAAUCCAAGAAUGGCAACAGCUGGUGUCUGACGGCAACCAAUCACUUUACCAAGUGGGUGGAGGCAAUUCCCAUUAAGGGAGAGACUGGCAAGGCCACCUCCAAGGCGAUAAUGGACAUCUUCAACACCCAUGGUUCUCCUGAGGUCAUCUUGAGUGACCGAAGUCAUGAAUGCUGGAACAAGGUUUGGUGAACGGACCAACCAGACCGUCAACACUGCCAUGGGCAAGUCCCUUGAUUGGUACCAGGAAGUGUGGGAGAACAACCUGAAGAUUCCUGAAACUCCACCUGAUGUGGUGGAAGUUGUCGAACCAGAUCACAGUGCUUUCGAGGACCAACUUCAGGCACGGACUGAGAAGGAUGUGGAGGUUUUUGACCAGGUGAGACUGAACAUCGACAAGUUGCAAGAGAAACAGAAGGAGAGCUACCGGAGCAGAAUCAAGAAGGGGAGCAAGUGCUACGACAUCGGGGGUUACCUCGGUGGAAGCCAACAAUCUUCUCCAGCUUGAGCAGUUGGACGGUCGACCACUGAAUGCACUGACGCCCUACACUUCGGUGAAGUCCAAUAGACAAAACAAUCAACUCUCCGAGCCCCCCAGGAGGUAUCCGAUCCAACAGAACCAGUGAGUUCGGAUCAGUCUGAUUCUCUGUGCUCUGAGUCAGAGGGGGACCAGCUUGAGGACCUAGGGGUUCUGCCCAACACCCAGACGUGGAUCCACCUGAUGUCCUCCAUUACCAACCACCUUCCAACUCAUUACAUGAACUGUACUCCCUGUUCACCCACGACUGUGUGGCCAUGCACACCUCCAACUCAAUCAUCAAGUUUGCAGAUGACACAACAGUAGUGGGCUUGAUUACAAACAACGACGAGACAGCCUACAGGGAGGGGGUGAAAGGCGCUCGGAGUGUGGUGUCAGGAAACUCAACUUCAACAAAACAAAGGAGAUGAUUGUGGUCUUCAGGAAACAACAGAGGGAGCACCCCCCUAUCCACAUCGAAGGGACAACAGUGGAGAAGGUGGAAAGUUUUAUGUUCCUCGGCAUACACAUCACAGACAAACUGAAAUGGUCCACUCACACAGACAGUGUGGUGAAGAAGGCGCAACAGCGCCUCUUCAACCUCAGGAGGCUGAAGAAAUUUGGCAUGUCACCUAAACCCUGACAACAUUUUACAGAUGCACUAUCAAGAACAUCCUGUCAGGCUGUAUCACAGCCUGGUACGGCAACUGCACCACUCUCAACCACAAGGCUCUCCAGAGGGUGGUGCAGUCUGCACAACACAUCACCAGGGGCAAACUAUCUGCCCUCCAUGACACCUACAGCACCCGAUGUCACAGGAAGGCCAAAAAAAUCAUCAAGGACAUCAACCACCCGAGCCACUGCCUGUUCAUACCGCUACCAUCCAGAAGGCGAGGUCAGUACAGGUGCAUCAAAGCUGGGACCGAGAGACUGAAAAACAGCUUCUAGCUCAAGGUCAUCAGACUGCUAAACAGCAAUCACUAACUCAAAGAGCCUGCUGCCUCCAUUGAGACCCAAUCACUGGCCACUUUAAUACAUAGAUCACUAGUCACUUUAUACAAUGCACUCUAAAUAAUGCCACUUUAAUAAUGUUUACAUAUCUUACAUUACUCAUAUCACAUGUAUGUACUGUAUUUUAUACCAUCUAUUGUACCUUGCCUAUGCCGCUCGACCAUUGCUCAUCCAUAUACAUACACGAACAUAUUCUCAUUCCCCUCUUUAGAUUUGUGUGUAUUAGGUAGUUGUUGGGGAAUUGUUAAAUUAUUUGUUAGAUAUUACUGCACUGUCGGAACUAGAAGCACAAGCAUUUCGCUACAUUCGCAUUAACAUCUGCUAACCAUGUGUAUGUGACAAAUGUAAUUUGAUUACAUCAUCUACAGCUAGUGUUAUUGUCAUGUCAUUAUCUGCUAAGAAGGUUUUCUUGCACUAUCAUACUGUGCACAUAAUAUGUGAUACACAGUUGAACUAAAAACACAAGCACUGUUAACAUUUAGAACAAUGAAAGGAGCAGUGCCUGUACUUUGCAGUCUCCCUCUUCAAGGCUCCGUUCCCGAGACUGGCUGCCUGUUGAGAAGAAGUGACAGGCAGAACCUCUCACCCACACAACCACCUCCUCAAUAUUCCAC